CCCGGGCACAAUCAAUCAAUUCCUGUCAAGUGUCAGCAGUACAAAGCCUUGUUCUCGUCAGGCUUCUGAAGAACAAGAGGCUUUGUUGCCAGGAUACAAGGAGGUGUUUGUUGUGCAGGGAGCAUCAGCGCCACAUCAGAUGGACAGUCGGAGUCUUGGUGAUGUUUGCUUGGUAACGAGUGCAGUCAGAGUCGCAGCAGCCAGUCCUCUCAGUGGGUUUUCACAAAUCACUGGGGAAUUUUUAUACCUUUGUGUGCAAAGUGUACCAGCAGUACUUCAGCAAACAGCAAGUUAGUGGUGAGAGGUAUCAUACUUAUUUUAGACACAGUGAAGCAGGCUGCAGAACAUGAUAAACACAGACUCCCCGGCUGAUUUCACCCACUCUGCCGCAGCUCAUCUGCAUUUUCUAAGGAGUUUUCAGAGCUCAGAUCUUAAAGGAGAGUCCCCCGCUGCUCUCUUGCCAGGAACAAAACCAAGAAACUCUUAAUGAAGCAAGCUCCAAGAUUAAAGCCAGCCUGCAGAGCUGAAGAGAAACACACCGAACUGGGCCAGUUCCACUUAGAUACUUUUCUUAAUUAAAAGGCGUGAAAAAUCUGUUCUUCUCUCUACUAAAAAUAUUAAAAUCUAGCAACUCCCGCA